UCGGUGCGUGACUGUCCUUUGCCCUCGCGCCCCCUCGGCGGUGUGUCAGCCUUGCGCUUCAUGGCGUUGUUUCUUUUCCCUGUGGCACAUUUUUCUUACCACCUCUCUCUUCUUCUCAGUGCCGCGUGUAUCACCGCCUCGGAGGACUCUUAAGGCAGCGCACACAAACACACACACACACGCACACACACAGACGCACGCACCUCCUCACUCAACGACGCGGCGCAGGAGAGGAAGGUGUGCGUGCGUGUGCGCUGCUACGUGUCCGGUUCAGUGACAGUGUGAUCGCCCCCCCCUUCCCUUCUUACGGUGUUUCUCUGAAGUAAGGGGCAGCAGCUAAUGGCCGUGUACCGCGUUAAGCGCGGAAGUGUGCGUGUGGGUGAUGCAGCGCACACAGGCACGCAUGCGCACACCCUACUUUGGCUGCGUAGUUGUUGUUGUGUUUUGUGAUCCCGCUCACCGAGUGCCGUCUCACGGUUGAGACCCCUUGGCCACUCUGAGGCGAGCACUGGAGCAAACGGUGCAAUGAUUGUAAACGCCUCCGGCACCCACAGGCACGCUGCCAUUCUGUUCACGGCACUCCCGCCAGCAGGAAUGCCGGGAAGCAGGGAUCCGGCAACACCUCAACCGACACUUUUUGUUUCCCUGGCCCUUUCUCCCUUCUCUCGCCGUGCGCUAUCGCGGCGGACGCACACCUUCGACUUUUCCACAAAG
rnacentral:misc_RNA from 1 species